AAACAAGUAGUUUUGUUGAAAUUUAAGUCACUUCAAGCUCAUGAAAAUUAUAUACAUAGAAAGCAAUACAACCAUAAAAUCAGAAAAUCAUUGAUAAAUCAUUAAUAACCAAAAAAUCAUAGCUAUAGAACCAAGAAAACCGACAGAUAUACUAUCGGACAGCUGGAUCAUGUCUGUGUCAUAGCAACACAAACUCUAACUCCAACUCUCCAACAAAAAGAAUCAAUUUUUGCUCAGAUAUAAAUUCUAACGCCCGGGAGCCGGAUGUCAUAUCAAUUGGAUUUGCUGGGGAAGCAUAUCACUUUACAUUGAAGAGAAUAUAGACACAAUAUUCAAUAAAUUCAGUUUUUUCUAUGUUUCAAAUAAGAGAUCUCUAUGCCAAAUACAUCACAGACAGUGAUGCUGCUAGCUAUGUAUAGGAAUAAUUUUCUUUCAAAGUUUUACAUUUCGCAACAGAAAAUGUUGACUGUUAUGAAUGUAUUCGGAUGUAUAAAAUGAAGCAACUCAGUUGCAAGUAUAUUUUAUUUGAAAUUCAAUUAAAAAUUACCUACCUAUGGGAAAAGUUUUA